rnacentral:rRNA from 1 species
UGGGGAAUUGUUCGCAAUGGGCGCAAGCCUGACGACGCAACGCCGCGUGGAGGAUGAAGGUCUUCGGAUUGUAAACUCCUGUUGCCCGGGACGAAUGGCUCCAACCUAAUACGUUGGAGUGUGACGGUACCGGGUGAGGAAGCCCCGGCUAACUCUGUGCCAGCAGCCGCGGUAAUACAGAGGGGGCAAGCGUUGUUCGGAAUUACUGGGCGUAAAGGGCGCGUAGGCGGCCUUCUAAGUCAGACGUGAAAUCCCCGGGCUCAACCCGGGAACUGCGUCUGAUACUGGAAGGCUUGAAUCCGGGAGAGGGAUGUGGAAUUCCAGGUGUAGCGGUGAAAUGCGUAGAUAUCUGGAGGAACACCGGUGGCGAAGGCGGCAUCCUGGACCGGUAUUGACGCUGAGGCGCGAAAGCCAGGGGAGCAAACGGG